GCCUCGGUGGUGUAGUGGUAGUACCGCAUCCCCGGUGUGGAUGAGACGCGGGUUCGAUUUCCGCCCGAGGCC